rnacentral:misc_RNA from 1 species
GCUGAGUUAGUACAACUCAUCAAACCACUGUGAACAUACCUACUACGUUGCCUCGGGGGCGGAUCCAGGGGAGCCCAGGCCCCCCGCUUACUGGGGGGCGCCCCGCCGAGGACCCCUAACCCUGUGUCUAAUAUGGCUUCUGAGUACAUGGCAAAGAAGUA